UGAAGCUGUGAAGAGCUAGCAGGUCUGCAGACUGGAAGCAAGAGCUGCAGACUGGAAGCAAGAGCUGCACACUGGAUGGAACGGGGUCACUGCCUUGGACCUUGUAGUUUGCCUCUGCAUACAGCACGAGCCAUGUCAAAGAUGAUGGCUCCCAGUCUGAGGCUGAGCAAGAGGUCAGAAAUCGCAGCAGUUAGAGCAAAGGAGCCCCAGCCUGGUGCUCAGCUACCUGAGCCAGCCAGCUGACUAUGGACUGAAACACAGCCACAAUAAACCUCUCCUUCCUUAGCUUGUGGGUGUUGGGUAUCUUGUGCCAUCACAGAGUAAAGUGGCCAAGACAUCAACACUGUCCAUCGGCCCUCUUCUGAACACUGAGAUGUCUUAGCUGAUAAGAGCUGAGGUCCCUGCAUGCACAGUACUUACCUUUUAACUGGGAGAGACUAUAGGAAGAGAACUACCACUCAUUGAGCCCCGUUUAUGCACUGUGUAUCCUUGCAGACAUCUCCUCUGUGUUCAGGGAAGACUUCUCUGCCCGCUUCCACUAUCAUUGAGGACAGAUGCUAGAUCAGGAGCCAUUGCUGGGCCUGAGGUCUUCCAGAACAUGUGACCUGAGCUCAAAUGUAACAAUCAGGAAAACUUCACUACCUCCACCAGAAUUGCCACCCAGCCACGAUGCAGCUGAAGCGCACUACAGAAAAACUCCUGCCUGCACAAACCUGUUGUACAAACCUGUUUGCCCACAACAGCAGGAGAAGCUACAAGAAAAAUAAUGCCUCCUCAUUUCCAACUUCCAAAUCUCCCACAAUGCUUCUCAUUGGAGCAUUGAUUUGUAAAUCAAACCCUGGCAGGGAGAAAGCCAGAAAAAUUUAUUUUUUAGCUUUCUAGCCUCUGCACCCUGGAAGGGAAACAAUAGAUGAUGAGUGGCAAUUUCUUGUAUCCACAUGGUUUCCCUUCUUAGCCACCUGUAGUGUCCAUGGUUUGGUAGAGCAGUGUGGGAACCUAGAAAUGCAGCCCUCAGGUUAGAAGCUUUGGUUAACUUGGGUGUAGCCACCCUGGUCAGCCAUGAAGGCUGCACCAGCAGUGUCCUGGCCAAGGAGCUUCUUAGGUCUAUGUAAAGCUUCUGCCCUCAGAGAGAAGAACCGAGGAUUUAGGUUAUACCAUGAGAGUCCUUGGAAGAUCACAGUGGGAUUGUGGGUCACAUGCUUGCCUGAUGACCUUGCUAAGCAUUUAGCCAAGCUUGAAGUUGUCUGUGCACAGUGGGACCAAGGAGUUUGAGAACACAGGUCUGAUAAGUAGGAGCUGUCACCAACCACCAGCUUUGAGAGAAACUGACAUGGGCUGGGGCUGGGGAUUCCCUGGCUUUUCCUCUACAUCAUAGUUCACCUCCAUGGGGAGUUCCUUUGUAUUAUUAUUGUAGCAGUGGUAUUGGUCUUUUUGAGACAGGAUCUUGCUAUGUAGUUCUCACUGUGUAACAGCCUGGGCUGGCUUUGCGCUUGCAGCAAUCCUCCUGCUUCAGCCUCCCAAGUGCUGGGAUUGAUUAUAGGCCCAGCUAGUGGAUUUGCAGAGUUGACUAGACAAGAGACUUAGAUUAGCCAGUCCAGUAUGGAGGUCACAUCUUAGUCUUCAAAAGUUUCUGCAGAGGCACUCAAGAGUGUUUCAUGCCAGGUGAGGACUGACUCCUCUCCCUGAGUCCUCGCUGAAACCCUGAAGUCUCUUAAUUGGGCUCCUGUUCAGCACAGACACAUCUCAGGUACAUGGUUGCCACCAACCCAGUGUCCUCCCAGUUCUUGAGUAAGGAUGAGUGGCAGGAAGUCUCUGGCCACAGAUUCCCUCAUCUGCAACAUGAAGAUUAAGGCUCACCAUAUCCCCAGGAGGCUGGGAGAUUUCACGAGAGCCUACAGGAAAGCACUCAGCUUAUUUCCCAGUGUGGAUUUAGGGUUACGUGAGAGGAAGCCUUGGGCCUUAGGAGGAGGGAGUGGUGGAGCCUCCCGUGGGCCUCCAAGUGCGCUGCCUCAGGCUGCACCUGCACUAUUCUGUCUGUCUCUUUUGAGGAAUCGAAGCAUCUUAACAAAGGUAUGAACAGUGAUCGGUGCCCAUGCCAGCAGGAAGAGAUCAAGUCAUCUUUGUAUAACUUGUUCUAGAAGGGAGGAAAAACUGAGUACAGUGGUACAUGCCUUUAAUCCCACCCACUUGGGAGGCUGAGGCAGGAGAAUCACCAGUUUGAGGCCAGCCUGGACAACUUAGCAGGGUCUGAGAGACAGAGAGAGAGAGAGAGAGAGAGAGAUCAUAGAAGCAGGAAAGACUUCUAUAUGAAAUAGUUAAAAUAAAGAAAGUGGUAUUUACAGGAAUGCCUUAGUUGAUUGGGAAAUUUCCUCAUACAAAAGAACCUUUUUUUGUGACAAUAGCUGAUACUGUCCUUUUCCUUUCUAGUUUUUAGUCCAAGAUGAUUCCCUCGGAACUGUUAAGUAGAGGCUGCAUGAUUCCAUGCAAACUCUCGAGACUAGGAAUAAGAAAAUCUGGUUUCUAUAUCUGCCCCCGUACAGUUGUUGACUGAAUAACUGUUACAUAACUGUUAAUGUCUAGAAACAUCGGUUUCUUCAUCUGCAGGAUGGAGAUAAUACUGAGCAGUGUGCCUGUUUCCCAGAACCCUGGUGAGGGUUGGUGGCAGUUACAGCCAGUGCUCUGGAGUCAGCCUGCUCUGAGGCUUCCUGGUCUGUUCCUCCCACAGCCGCCCCCUUCUUCAGACCUGACUUCGCCCACGUUCCCUGCCACAGGCCUUACUGGGAGGUAGAGCGAGCCACAUACGUUUGUAUGGAUUUUCCUGGCUUCAUAUGACAUCCCUUCGAACUAAGCAGGAAACUGAAUUAUAGUGAGAAUAGUGCAGUUGCAUGUCAACUUGG